AAUAAGAUGCCUGACUAAAGGGCUAUUUUGAUAGAAUAGAUAAUGUAAUUUUUUACUCUUAUUA
rnacentral:tRNA from 1 species